ACCCCAUACCCAACCAGAUUAUUAUGAUACAUAAUGCUUAUAUGAAACUAAUACAUUUCGCAACAUUUAUUUUAGGUAUAUAAAUACAUUUAUUGAAGGAAUUGAUAUAUGCCACUAAAAUGGUGUAUUUUUAAUUUCUUUCAAUAAAAACAUAAUUGACAUUAUAUAAAAAUGAAUUAUAAAACUCUAAGCGGUGGAUCACUCGGCUCAUGGGUCGAUGAAGAACGCAGCAAACUGUGCGUCAUCGUGUGAACUGCAGGACACAUGAACAUCGACAUUUUGAACGCAUAUCGCAGUCCAUGCUGUUAUGUACUUUAAUUAAUUUUAUAGUGCUGCUUGGACUACAUAUGGUUGAGGGUUGUAAGACUAUGCUAAUUAAGUUGCUUAUAAAUUUUUAUAAGCAUAUGGUAUAUUAUUGGAUAAAUAUAAUAAUUUUUAUUCAUAAUAUUAAAAAAUAAAUGAAAAACAUUAUUAUAUUAUUAUAACAUUAUCAUUAUUAUUAUUAUUAUACACAAUCCCGGGGCGUUCUAUAUAGUUAUGUAUAAUGUAUAUUUAUAUUAUUUAUGCCUCUAACUGGAACGUACCUUGAGCAUAUAUGCUGUGACCCGAAAGAUGGUGAACUAUACUUGAUCAGGUUGAAGUCAGGGGAAACCCUGAUGGAAGACCGAAACAGUUCUGACGUGCAAAUCGAUUGUCAGAAUUGAGUAUAGGGGCGAAAGACCAAUCGAACCAUCUAGUAGCUGGUUCCUUCCGAAGUUUCCCUCAGGAUAGCUGGUGCAUUUUAAUAUUAUAUAAAAUAAUCUUAUCUGGUAAAGCGAAUGAUUAGAGGCCUUAGGGUCGAAACGAUCUUAACCUAUUCUCAAACUUUAAAUGGGUAAGAACCUUAACUUUCUUGAUAUGAAGUUCAAGGUUAUGAUAUAAUGUGCCCAGUGGGCCACUUUUGGUAAGCAGAACUGGCGCUGUGGGAUGAACCAAACGUAAUGUUACGGUGCCCAAAUAACAACU
rnacentral:rRNA from 1 species